ensembl:lncRNA
GAUGAAACUGCGAUGAACUGCGAUCAAAAUUCUUUAUACCUAAUUCUUUAAACAACAUGAUGUGGUUAUGGAUGCAGUUCCUUCUGGAUUUAUAAUGCCCUUCAAAGAAGCCGUUAAAAGUGGAGCCAUAUGGGUUUAAACUCAAAAGAUCCUUCUAAUCCUGGUGGUCAAAUGUGCUUCUUUUACACUUUGGCGAAAAAUCCAUUUCACAGAGAUGUCUCUACCUGACAUACAGUCACUUAUUGGAGCUGCCUAAUAAAUAAUCUUGGUUGGUAAAAUGUUUGGACAUUAUCAUGUAUGUAUUUAUUAACAAAUAAAAUAAAGUAAGUCUCUUAGAAAAUCAUACGAAGACGCCAGUGAAAUAGUAUCUUGAGAUUUAAAAAAAGAUAUUGAUGUAAAUUGUUCAUUCUGUGAUGUAUACUCAGACACUCUCCCACGCAAAAAAAAAAAAAAAAAAAAGAUCUGGAAACAUUUCUGUAAAGAAUUCCUGACCUCAGUGCCCAUUCAACGUGAAAUUCCUAUUCAUGAGCAUGGGUAGUGACGUCAUAUCAGCAUGGUUGUUGAUAUGACGACAUAUCAAAAAUCAACUUUUUUUUGCAAUAUUUUUGAGAGUGCACAACAAUACAGAUUUCCAUAAAAAUAUAUAUGGUAAGGUGCACAUUAACGUAAUACAUAUAUCCAAACCUUUUUUCCAUGUAAUAUUUGUUACAAAUUUCUAGGAUAUUAUAUAUAUGGAAUAGUUAUAAUUUAUCUGGGGCCGGUUCUGUGGUCCUGGAAGGUCUGUCAGGUGCCCAAUUUGAGCCCUUAGUGUCAGGCUCAGUGAAGCUUGUGGUCACUUUUACUCAAAUGGCUACCACUCUUGAAUGGAAUAAGAUUUUCACCAAACUCGGGGGCUCAAUUUGAGGAUAUUACUGUGUUACCAGUAUCACACUCACUGCACUGUUGGAUGUACAAUUCUAAUAUGAAUGUGUAGGUUGUCAGUAGACCCUGCUCCAUAUGAUAUUGUUACCUUACAAUUACCUACAUUCUGCCUUUAUGUGGUCUGUGUUAUUAAAAUGCAUGUAUUGAAUGUAUUAAAAUGGAGAAUGUUAUCACACGUGAUUUGUCACACGCACAUAUACAUCAACAAAACAUUCAGUCAGUGCAUGGAGUGCCUAUUAUUCUGUCUUGUAUUCAUUUACAACAAAAAAACGAAUCGUCCCAUCGUUCACUUAACGGAGUCGGCUCAGAGCCGACUCGUUCGCAAACGACACAUCACUACUCUGCAGAUGGACAUAUCUCAAGGCGUAGUGACUCCCUGUGCCAGAGACCUCAGCCAGGACUGCACAAGUAUGAUCAUGCCCUCUGGUGUCUCCAGCUUCUUGCUGGAUUGUAUGGAUUCAGACUUGGAAGCAGGUGACGCACAACCAUCCAUUGAGACUUUUUGCAAAGCUGAUACUUCUGAUGAGGGAACAGGUCUGGUCAGUGAAGAUGAAAUGCUGCACUGCUGUAUCAGGAACUCAACGCUUCUCAGUUUCAGUGACGCUGUGAAUAUCGGAAUGCAGCAUCCUCCAAACCUCUCCUCCAUUCUGGAGCUGUCACCUGUUACUGAUGGACAAACUGCAAAAGGCUCAUUUUCUCUGCCCUUCCUUCAACCUGUGUCACCUCUUGGCUCCUCUGCUUUGGUUGGGCUAUGUGAUAAUUUGACAUCCCCAAAGAAUACCUCAGGAGGUAAAGGCAAAACCACUGGAGUUGAAGAAAGGACUCCUGUAACCAAGAUAACUGCAGCAUUUUCUCCUGCUGUAAAAAAAAAGCCUCUUAUAGGAAAACGUAAGCCCAUAAAAUGCAGAAAGGUGACCUUCAGUGAUGUCAACAGCACACAGGCCAUAUCAGUGCUUAAUCCUGGUUCGGUGAAACCUCAGAGAAGAGCCUAUAAUGUCCAUAAGAAUGACAUGAGAAGCAACACCAAUGAGCCUUCUUCGGAGACAGCAAGGUUUUUUGACUUUGCUGAUGAAUGCGAGAAGGAAACUUUUUUUCAAAGACUGAAGCUGACCUACACUUUUCAGUUUCCCUCUAAACCGAUUACCUUCCCAGACCGGCCGAAGACAGAGGAUGUGUGAGGUAGAAGAAUGGUUUCUUUCUUUUUUCUUUUGUUCAGUGUGCAUUGCUGCUCUCACUUAGAUCUCGCGAACACCAUGAUGAAAUAAAGUCUGUUUUUGCAUGUCUCUAAAGCCCUGUUUUGUGAUCAGCAAACCAGGACCUACCUCAGCG